AUUGAACGCUGGCGGCAGGCCUAACACAUGCAAGUCGAGCGGUAGCACAGAGAGCUUGCUCUCGGGUGACGAGCGGCGGACGGGUGAGUAAUGUCUGGGAAACUGCCUGAUGGAGGGGGAUAACUACUGGAAACGGUAGCUAAUACCGCAUAACGUCGCAAGACCAAAGUGGGGGACCUUCGGGCCUCAUGCCAUCAGAUGUGCCCAGAUGGGAUUAGCUAGUAGGUGGGGUAACGGCUCACCUAGGCGACGAUCCCUAGCUGGUCUGAGAGGAUGACCAGCCCCACUGGAGCGGGGACACGGUCCAGACUCCUACGGGAGGCAGCAGUGGGGAAUAUUGCACAAUGGGCGCAAGCCUGAUGCAGCCAUGCCGCGUGUAUGAAGAAGGCCUUCGGGUUGUAAAGUACUUUCAGCGGGGAGGAAGGCGACAAGGUUAAUAACCUUGUCGAUUGACGUUACCCGCAGAAGAAGCACCGGCUAACUCCGUGCCAGCCGCCGCCGUAA
rnacentral:rRNA from 1 species